GGACCUGACUGCUAUCGGAUUGAUACUAAGCCAUGCGAGUCUUUGUAGUAAUACAAGGCAUACGGCUCAGUAACGCGUAGUCAACCUACCCUAUGGACAAGAAUAAUCUCGGGAAACUGAGCAUAAUUCUUGAUAGAUCAUAAUGCCUGGAAUGGUUUAUGGUUAAAAUGAUUCGUCGCCAUAGGAUGGGACUGCGGCCUAUCAGCUUGUUGGUGAGGUAAUGGCCCACCAAGGCGAUUACAGGUACGGGCUCUGAGAGGAGAAGCCCGGAGAUGGGUACUGAGACAAGGACCCAGGCCCUAUGGGGCGCAGCAGGCGAGAAAACUUUGCAAUGUGCGAAAGCACGACAAGGUUAAUCCGAGUGGUUUCUGCUAAAGAAACCUUUUGUCAGUCCUAGAAACACUGAUGAAUAAGGGGUGGGCAAGUUCUGGUGU
rnacentral:rRNA from 1 species